rnacentral:rRNA from 1 species
UACGUAGGGGGCAAGCGUUGUCCGGAUUUAUUGGGCGUAAAGAGCGUGUAGGCGGCUUGGUAGGUCCGCUGUGAAAACUCGAGGCUCAACCUCGAGAUGUCGGCGGAAACCACUUGGCUAGAGUCCGGAAGAGGAGAGUGGAAUUCCCGGUGUAGCGGUGAAAUGCGCAGAUAUCGGGAAGAACACCUAUGGCGAAGGCAGCUCUCUGGGCCGGUACUGACGCUGAGACGCGAAAGCGUGGGGAGCGAACAGG